GCCCUUAUGUGUUGCCCAUUCGUUGCUUUCUACAGUGAAUGUGGUGUCAAAUAAGGCAUUCAGCAAUUUCUUGUAUCGGCCUUAGCAAGGUUCCUCCCCAGUGGCCUUGUCUUAACCAAGAACAGUU